GUCCUACGGGACGCAGCAGUAGGGAAUUUUCGGCAAUGGGGGGAACCCUGACCGAGCAACACCGCGUGAACGAAGAAGUUAUUCGUAAUGUAAAGUUCUUUUCUCAGGGAAGAAAGAGGAAUUUGACGGUACCUGAGGAAUAAGCUCCGGCUAACUACGUGCCAGCAGCCGCGGUAAUACGUAGGGAGCGAGCGUUAUCCGGAAUUAUUGGGCGUAACGGGUGCGUAGAUGGCAUAGUAAGUCUUUUGUAUAAAUGCUUGGCUCA
rnacentral:rRNA from 1 species